GGGGACGUAGCUCAAACGUUAGAGCGCUUGCUUUGCAUGCAAGAGGUACGGGGAUGGAUAAACCGCAUCUCCA
rfam:Nelumbo nucifera unplaced genomic scaffold scaffold00043, whole genome shotgun sequence